rnacentral:rRNA from 1 species
AGCAGCCGCGGUAAUUCCAGCUCCAAUAGCGUAUAUUAAAGUUGUUGCAGUUAAAAAGCUCGUAGUUGAAUUUCGGAGUUUGUCGGUUGGUCGGGCUUUAUUGUCCGCACUGGCCUGAUAGAUUCCUACCUUCUGAAUAACCAGCAUGCUAUUAAUUUAGUGCGUUGGGGAAGCAGAGCUAUUACCUUGAAAAAUUAGAGUGCUUAAAGCAGGCUUAUGCUUGAAUAGAUUAGCAUGGAAUAAUAAAAUAGGACGGCUUGGUUCUAUUUUGUUGGUUUCUAGGAUCACCGUAAUGAUUAAUAGGGAUAGUUGGGGGCAUUAGUAUUCAAUUGUCAGAGGUGAAAUUCUUGGAUUUAUUGAAGACUAACUUCUGCGAAAGCAUUUGCCAAGGAUGUUUUCAUUAAUCAAGAACGAAAGUUAGGGGAUCGAAGACGAUCAGAUACCGUCGUAGUCUUAACCAUAAACUAUGCCGACUAGGGAUCGGACGAUGUUAAUUUUUUAAUGACUCGUUCGGCGUCCG